UACGUAGGGUGCGAGCGUUAAUCGGAAUUACUGGGCGUAAAGCGUGCGCAGGCGGUGAUGUAAGACCGAUGUGAAAUCCCCGGGCUUAACCUGGGAACUGCAUUGGUGACUGCAUUGCUGGAGUAGUGGCAGAGGGGGGGUGGAAUUCCACGUGUAGCAGUGAAAUGCGUAGAGAUGUGGAGGAACACCGAUGGCGAAGGCAGCCCCCUGGGCCAAUACUGACGCUCAUGCACGAAAGCGUGGGGAGCAAACAGG
rnacentral:rRNA from 1 species